GCCAGAGGGGGCGAGCGUUGUCCGGAGUCACUGGGCGUAAAGCGCGCGCAGGCGGCAACCUAAGUGCCGUGUGAAAGCCCCCGGCUCAACCGGGGGAGGCCAUGGCAAACUGGGUCGCUCGAGCUGCGGAGAGGCCCCUCGAAUUGCCGGUGUAGCGGUGAAAUGCGUAGAGAUCGGCAGGAAGACCAAGGGGGAAGCCAGGGGGCUGGCCGCAGGCUGACGCUGAGGCGCGACAGCGUGGGGAGAAAACCGG
rnacentral:rRNA from 1 species